CACUACGCUCUUCCGAUACCCUCACACCCAACCUCCACUUCUGGCCAAUGUUGCUCCAACAGAGUAACAUUAUUAAAAUUUUCUGUUACACUGAAGUUAACCGAGGCAGAAAUACCACUGACAUCAAGUCUUCAGGGAUAGAUGAGCAAGGAGCAGAGUCGUGGAUUCACGAGAGAAGUCUAUUAUGUAGAUAGAUGGCAGAGACCACCUUACAUAACUGUUCCUACCAAAUCGGACCUUGGUGUAACAUCCGACAGAGCCCUGCUCCUAAAAGAGUGUGUUUAAAUUUUUCAUCAGACCGCCUUUAUAAAAAAUUGAAACAAUAGUCUCCAAGUGGGGGGA